rnacentral:tRNA from 1 species
ACCUAGGUGGCUCAGUCGGUUGAGUGUCUGACUUUGGCUCAGGUCGUGAUCUCUCGGUUCAUGGGUUCGAAUCCCAUGAUGGGCU